UGUCAUAAAAAGGUUCUAGAGAUGCUGAGCUCUUUCUUUCACUCCAUCAAGGGUAUAGCUAAUUGCGAAUGCUACAUCAAAGCUAUAGCUAGUGCUACAUCAAAGCUAUAGCUAGUGCUGCAUCAAAGCUAUAGUUAGUGCCACAUCAAAGCUAUAGCUAGUGCUACAUCAAAGCUAUAGCUAGUGCUGCAUCAAAGCUAUAGCUAGUGCUACAUCAAAGGUAUAGCUAGAGAUACAUCAAAGCUAUAGCUAGUGCUACAUCAAAGGUAUAGCUAGAGAUACAUCAAAGCUAUAGCUAGUGCUACAUCAAAGCUAUAGCUAGUGCUGCAUCAAAGCUAUAGCUAGUGCUACAUCAAAGCUAUAGCUAGUGCUACAUCAAAGGUAUAGCUAGAGAUACAUCAAAGCUAUAGCUAGUGCUACAUCAAAGCUAUAGCUAGUGCUGCAUCAACGCUAUAGCUAGUGCUACAUCAAAGGUAUAGCUAGAGCUACAUCAAAGCUAUAGCUAGUGCUACAUCAAAGCUAUAGCUAGUGCUACAUCAAAGCUAUAGCUAGUGCUACAUCAAAGCUAUAGCUAGUGCUGCAUCAAAGCUAUAGCUAGUGCUGCAUCAAAGCUAUAGCUAGUGCUACAUCAAAGCUAUAGCUAGUGCUGCAUCAAAGCUAUAGCUAGUGCUACAUCAAAGGUAUAGCUAGAGAUACAUCAAAGCUAUAGCUAGUGCUACAUCAAAGCUAUAGCUAGUGCUGCAUCAAAGCUAUAGCUAGUGCUACAUCAAAGCUAUAGCUAGUGCUACAUCAAAGCUAUAGCUAGUGCUGCAUCAAAGCUAUAGCUAGUGCUACAUCAAAGCUAUAGCUAGUGCUACAUCAAAGCUAUAGCUAGUGCUACAUCAAAGCUAUAGCUAGUGCUACAUCAAAGCUAUAGCUAGUGCUGCAUCAAAGUUAAUACUGGUGCU